GAUAUAAAAAUCCUAAAUAAAAUACAAGCAAAUAAACUUCAGGAAUAUAUUUUUUGAAGUGUGACCAGGUAGUUUUAUCCAACAAAUAUAAAGAAAGAUGCUCAAAUAUAAAAAUAAUAGAGAAAUACUACAUGACUUUUUCAAUAGGGAUGAGGACCAAGAAAUGAAAUAAGAACAGAUUUAGAAAAAACAGAAAAUGGGGAGAAAAAAAAACAGAAAAUGGGGAGAGAAAAAUAUGCUUCUCACAAUAAGGUAAGGUCAUUUCACAGCUAUGGGCUGAGUUUAUUAUAAGCCCAUUCCUGGACUCAUUUCAUUUUCAUUUAUGCACACAUUGCGUUGAGCUGCAUUGUUUGAAACACAGCUUCAGGAUCAGGCCAAGCAACCAAAGACGCAUUUGAAAUGCAUUUCCCAUUUUCUAAGGCCCAGGCCCCCUGACAGCCCGAGUCACUUAGUACUGACCUGUUUUCAACUAGCAUUAAUGUUUUAAGAAAGUUUGCAAAUUUGUGCUGGGCCAGGGGUUGGACAAGUUUGAAUAAGUCAAAUCUUGUCUAUCUAUCAUGCACACUGCCCUUUUACUUCCCUUCAUGGCCCUAGCAAGCAUCUUCCAACAACCCUACUCCCCUCUCCCAGCAAACAUGAGGGCCCCAGCUCUCACUUCAACAUAGAAGAGUAGAUGUCAGCACCUACUGCAACAGCGACUCAUGGAUGCUGACAACCCCACUGUUGACUCCAAUCUCUGGUGGCUAGGAGCCUGCCUAGCUGGCAGCUCAGAGAUCUCAGGGUGCAUCCACCAGGGAAGGAUUGGGAGAAAAAUCGGACAAUGCCUGCAGGGCCUGUGGACAGACAGCCAGACAGAAAGGCCUCCGGAGGAGCAGACACAAGGGUGAGGAGAGGAGAUGUGGCACCAGGAGUCACCAAUGGGAAGCCCAGCUUGCUGCCUAAAGGGAAGCUGGACAAACUGCUCUCUGGAGGCUACUGAAUACCCCCAGGAGACCGUGAUGCUAGCUUCUCCUUUUCCCUGCUCGAGACCUCCAGGCAAUGCCAGAGAGGCCUUUCUGGGUCAGGGGUGGGCAAAUGGAUACAGGGGCAACCCCCAGAUCAUCCUCCUACCUCUGCUGAGCUCUCAGGGUGCUCCAGGGAGUCAGCAGGGCUCACGGUGGGGUGAAGCUUAUCACCUACUCUCCUCUGCUCUGCCACCCAUUUGCUGUAGACCAAGUAUCAAUUACUGUCUCUGUGCCACAUUUCCCUCAUGGGUAAGAUAAACUUGGUCCUCCCAGGAGCUCUUUCAACAGUACCACUAUGACCCUCCCAUUUUCCCCCAAUCAUGCCUUGUCCUUCUCAGCAUCCUCACCAACAGUCAGACAUACGCAGCUUCUAAUUCCAAUCCAACCAGAGCACCCAUGUGGCCUUGUAGCUAGUCUCCUACCUGCACUGGCCUCUACCUCCAUAUCUGCAAAAUGAGCAUGACAAUACGGUCCUUUGCAGGGCUGCCAAGACGAGGGGGAAAUGGCAGCCACUCACUGAGCAGAAGCUACUGCUGGGACUCGGUGACCACUGACCAUUCUGGCGUACAGCCACAUUGCUUAGCAGGACAGCUCUGGCUGCCUGAGAUGCCUUGCCUCCUUUCACCAGCACUAAAAUCCACUCCAUCUGAUAUGGUUAGGCUUUGUGUCCCCACCCAAAUCUCAUCUCGAAUUGUAGUUCCCAUUAUCCCCACCCGUUGUGGGAGGGACCUGGUGGGAGGUAAUUUAAUCAUGGGGGCGGUUCCCCUCAUGCUGUUCUUGUGAUAGUGAAUGAGUUCUCACAAGAUCUGAUGGUUUUAUAAGGGGCUUUUCCCUCUUCUGCUCAGCACUUCUUGCUGCUGACAUUUGAAGAACGAGUUUGCUUCCCCUUCCACCAUGAUUAUAAGUUUCCUGAGGCCUCCCCAGCCAUGCUGAACUGCCAGUCAAUUAAACCUCUUUCCUUUAUAAAUUACCCAGUCUUAGGUAUGUCUUUAUUAGCAGCAUGAGCACAGAUUAACACGGCACUCUUGACAGCAAAUCUCAAGCCCUGCCUCCACCCUGGGGCUUGAUAACUCCCAUAGGACUCAAUGGGGAAUCAGCCUCCACACCUGUGGUGAACUAGUUGCUUCUGUGGGGUGGCUCCUGUCUUAGAUACCUUCUCCCAAGCCUCUCAUACCGCAGGCAUGCAAUAGACAGCAGGGAAGAGCUGUUGAGUGAAAUGGACACACUGUGUGAAUAACACUCUUGGCCACCCACACUAGCAUGUGAUGUAUUGUAUGGCAUUCCUUGUCUUUGAUGCUGGUUUUUCCUUCCCUUGAUGGAAUCUCAGUGUCAUUUUCC
rnacentral:lncRNA from 1 species